UAGGGAAUCUUCGGCAAUGGGGGGAACCCUGACCGAGCAACGCCGCGUGAGUGAAGAAGGUUUUCGGAUCGUAAAGCUCUGUUGUUAAGGAAGAACGAGUGUGAGAAUGGAAAGUUCAUACUGUGACGGUACUUAACCAGAAAGGGACGGCUAACUACGUGCCAGCAGCCGCGGUAAUACGUAGGUCCCGAGCGUUGUCCGGAUUUAUUGGGCGUAAAGCGAGCGGAGGCGGUUAGAUAAGUCUGAAGUUAAAGGCAGUGGCUCAACCAUUGUAGGCUUUGGAAACUGUUUAACUUGAGUGCAGAAGGGGAGAGUGGAAUUCCAUGUGUAGCGGUGAAAUGCGUAGAUAUAUGGAGGAACACCGGUGGCGAAAGCGGCUCUCUGGUCUGUAACUGACGCUGAGGCUCGAAAGCGUGGGGAGCGAACAGG
rnacentral:rRNA from 1 species